UACGGAGGAUCCAAGCGUUAUCCGGAUUUAUUGGGUUUAAAGGGUGCGUAGGUGGUUCUUUAAGUCAGGGGGUGAAAGACGGUAGCUUAACUAUCGCAGUGCCUUUGAUACUGAAGAACUUGAAUACACUAGAGGUAGGCGGAAUGUGACAAGUAGCGGUGAAAUGCAUAGAUAUGUCACAGAACACCAAUUGCGAAGGCAGCUUACUAUGGUUUGAUUGACACUGAGGCACGAAAGCGUGGGGAUCAAACAGG
rnacentral:rRNA from 1 species